rnacentral:rRNA from 1 species
AGCGAACGCUGGCGGCAGGCCUAACACAUGCAAGUCGAACGAACUCUUCGGAGUUAGUGGCGGACGGGUGAGUAACACGUGGGAACGUGCCUUUAGGUUCGGAAUAACUCAGGGAAACUUGUGCUAAUACCGAAUGUGCCCUUCGGGGGAAAGAUUUAUCGCCUUUAGAGCGGCCCGCGUCUGAUUAGCUAGUUGGUGAGGUAAAGGCUCACCAAGGCGACGAUCAGUAGCUGGUCUGAGAGGAUGAUCAGCCACAUUGGGACUGAGACACGGCCCAAACUCCUACGGGAGGCAGCAGUGGGGAAUCUUGAGCAAUGGGCGAAAGCCUGACGCAGCCAUGCCGCGUGAAUGAUGAAGGUCUUAGGAUUGUAAAAUUCUUUCACCGGGGACGAUAAUGACGGUACCCGGAGAAGAAGCCCCGGCUAACUUCGU